GAGAAUUUUGCCGUUCUUUUCUUUGCCUUAUCGCCCGGCCGGCUUCCCAAAAUCUAAUGCCCUUCCAGGUGAUCUCUCAGGAGACCGGAAGAUCUCUGACGCUCAAGUCGACUUUCUUUCUAAUUUUGGCAACCGCCGUCAAUUUCCAUUCCAGUUUUUGCGCUCGCUGCCUUCGACCCAAAUCUCUCACUGCAUUUCGCCCUAAAGCUGUGGAAUCGUUAGCAGAUUUCGUUUAUGAUGUCCACGGCGUCAUUUUGCGGGCAGCUAGCCUCUUCUUUGUCGGUGACCAGGAGUCGUAGGCGGCACUUGAAUUGGCAAACUCGUCGCUGCUUCUUCAAUCUUGCAUCUGCCGGUCGCAGUUACGGAUCUGUGGCUGUUCGGCCCCUGCGGGCCCUGUCCACCACAAGCGCUCUGGGGACCGGCCCUUUGGAGGUUCGGUUCAACGAGGUAAUUGAGUCGCUCGUGGAUCGAAUUGAUCUAUCGGAAGAAGAGGCGGAAGCGUGCCUCAAGCUUCUACUCAAUGAAGCCAACGAGGCUUUAAUUAGCGCCUUCCUCGUGCUUUUGCGUGCUAAAGGAGAGACCUUUCAGGAGAUUGUUGGAUUGGCGAGGGCGAUGAUAGAAUGCGCGGUGAAGGUCAAUGGAAUAGGUGAUGCGGUUGACAUUGUUGGUACUGGAGGAGACGGGGCUAAUACGGUUAACAUUUCUACCGGGGCUUCUAUACUUACUGCAGCAGCUGGUCUGAAUGUCGCCAAGCAAGGUAAUCGAUCCAGCUCCUCUGCCUGCGGUAGUGCUGAUGUAUUGGAAGCGUUGGGGGUGAACAUCCAGUUAGGCCCUGAGGAAGUAAAAUGCUGCGUGAAGGAAGCAGGUAUAGGAUUCAUGAUGUCUCCACUUUAUCACCCAGCAAUGAAAAUUGUUGGUCCUGUUAGGAAAAAGCUCAAAGUGAAGACUGUCUUCAACAUUCUGGGGCCAAUGUUGAAUCCAGCACGAGUUCCAUACACCGUUGUUGGUGUAUACCAUGAAGACAUAGUACUCAAAAUGGCUAAUGCAUUGCAGAAGUUUGGAAUGAAGAGAGCAUUAGUAGUUCAUUCUAAAGGUUUAGAUGAGAUAAGUCCACUUGGAUCUGGAUACUUCCUUGAUGUCACGCCCACAGCAAUAAACAAACUAUACUUCGAUCCAUUGGACUCUGGUAUUCCCCGCUGCACGCUAGAUGAUCUUAAAGGAGGCGGCCCACAGUUCAAUGCAGAAGUUCUUCGAAGAGUAUUGUCUGGUGAAAAGGGCCCAAUUGCUGAUGCUCUCGUAAGUCAGUUCCUUUUUGUUAAUUUUGCUGACAUGGUUGCAAUUACAGUCUUAUGUUUCAAUUGUCUUAGCAGCAUCAUAAUUUCCAUAGGUAAAAAUGCUUUGUCUUACAAAAUACUGGCUAGCUUGGCUAGUUUUUAUAGUCUGACUAUCCAUCGUGCUGCUCGAGAAGUGUGUGGUUACAUUUUUCACAUAACUUUAGUCACAGUAAGCAUGCAAAUAAACUGACCGGUGGCAAUUUGAUAAUGGAACUUUGAAUUUGUAGCAGCUAUAGAAGUUUUCUGUGUCCACUCAAAUCAGUUUUAGCACCUUUCUAUUUUAUUUCUGCCAACCUGUCUGUCUAUUCUCUACAUAGCUAGUUUAUCCUUUUGAGGGGUUUUAUCGCAUCUAUUGUCUCACACGAGGGCCUUCUUUAGUAAAAUUUGUAAGCUUCUCGACACCAAAUAUUCCAGUGGUUUAUAGCCAGGUCUAUAGUUUCCUUGAACUCAUGUCAAUUUGAAUAGAAGUAUACCAUGAACAUAUUUUUGAUUGCACUUGGUUUCUAUGAUUUCUUCAAAUGCAGGUUCUUAAUGCUGCCGCUGCUCUUCUCGUCGCCGGUCAUGUGAGCAACUUUAGCGAAGGUGUAGCACUAGCUCAAGAGACGCAUCAAUCUGGGAAGGCCAUCGACACACUCACUUCCUGGAUUGCAGUCUCCAACAGAUCAGGAUAAGCAGCUGCGAGGUCUCUAUGAUUAGUAUCUCGAUCGGUAUGCGAUAAAUUACUCGAGCGCCUUGUUGCGACAUGCUGAGGUGAAGGUUGAUUUCGAAGUCCAGAAAUAUUUACCAUCGCAAUAAAAGUUCCAUCUUAUGACGGAUGACCUUGUGAUCUUUCAUGAUUAUGGUGUCAGACGCAACCCGAAAUACCUCUGAAUCGAAUUUUAAGAACAGUUGUAGCUGCUAACUGCUAUAACGUGUAACAAUUGGUUGUUAAUAUUUAUAAGUGUCAUUAUUGGUUGAUUUUGCUUAUAACACGGUUAAAAUAAUAUUUUAUUAAGGAAAAUAAAUUGAAGGGAUUUUAUGACACCUACUUCAUUUUAAAUGAAUAUUAUUUGGUUA